AGUCACUGACAUUAGAUACCCGCGUAGUCCAGGGUGUAAACGCUGCAGACUUGGUGUUGGAAGCCCUUUGGGGGCAUUCAGUGCCGGAGAGAAGUUGUUAAGUCUGCUACUUGGGGAGUACGUCCGCAAGGAUGAAACUUAAAGGAAUUGGCGGGGGAGCACCGCAACGGGAGGAGCGUGCGGUUUAAUUGGAUUCAACACCGUAAAACUCACCAGGGAAGACUGUUACAUGAAGGCCGAGGUGAAGACUCUGCUAGAUUUUCAG
rnacentral:rRNA from 1 species